AGAGUUUGAUCCUGGCUCAGGACGAACGCUGGCGGUGUGCUUCACACAUGCAAGUCGAGCGAAUGAAGUAGGUAGCUUGCUACUUAUGGAUUUAGCGGCGGACGGGUGAGUAAUAUAUAGGAAUCUGCCUUAGAGCGGGGAACAACAGACCGAAAGGUUUGCUAAUGCCCCAUAGGUAUGCAGUCUUCGGAUUGUAUAUUAAAGGAGUAAUCCACUCUAAGAUGAGCCUGUAUCCGAUUAGCUAGUUGGCGGGGUAAAGGCCCACCAAGGCUACGAUCGGUAGUUGGUCUGAGAGGAUGAUCAGCCACAAUGGGACUGAGACACGGCCCAUACUCCUACGGGAGGCAGCAGUGGGGAAUUUUACACAAUAGGGGAAACCCUGAUGUAGCGACACCGCGUGAACGAAGAAGCCUUUUGGGGUGUAAAGUUCUGUCGGCUGGAACGAAAAAAAUGACGGUACCAGCAAAGGAAGCAUCGGCUAACUACGUGCCAGCAGCCGCGGUAAGACGUAGGAUGCAAGCGUUGUCCGGAUUUAUUGGGCGUAAAGAGUUCGUAGGCGGUUAUUUAAGUCUGAUGUUAAAUACUGUGGCCCAACCACAGAACUGCAUUGGAUACUGGAUGACUUGAGUGCGGUAGAGGCAAGUGGAAUUCCCAGUGUAGCGGUGAAAUGCGUAGA
rnacentral:rRNA from 1 species